GAGAAUCUAACACAUACACAGAGGAGAUGGAGCAUAAAAUUGGGCGGACUGACUCAGAGGUUUGUUUUGAUUUUUAAAUCAUUUGUUAAAACUAAAAAUGAGUGUGCGUACGCGUGGAGAGGGGGAACAAGGCUUCUCUAAUCAGCAAAGGGGCUGUCGGCAGGCGAUGUACAAAUGAAAGCGCGCUUUCUAAAUUUCCAAAGCACUAAAGGGAGAGAAAUGCGCAAUUACUGUGGGAUUCGCCCAGAGGAGCAGCCUCAGGAGUUGAAGGGGAUCCUGUCCCUCCCAGAGGAAAGCUCACGAUUGGAUUGGAACUUCUAGCGACUGCCUGAGGCAAACGCACAUAAGGGUCCCCAGAUGCAGCGAAUGAACAGGUUUUCCUCGUAAAAAUGAUGGAGGUGAAGGUGGGGAUGGGGGUGCUCUCCUCACUCCGGAAUCUGAAGCGGGAGAGAGCUGGAUAAACCGCCGAGAUGACCUAAGUGGUCUGAGGCGACCAGCAGCGCGUCCACAGUGGAGGACCCAGGCCUCGGCUCAGAC
rnacentral:lncRNA from 1 species